AGAGUUUGAUCCUGGCUCAGGAUGAACGCUGGCGGCGUGCUUAACACAUGCAAGUCGAACGAUUAACCCUUCUUCGGAAGGUCAUAAAGUGGCGAACGGGUGAGUAACACGUGACCAACCUGCCUCUCACAUUGGGAUAACUUAGAGAAAUCUAAGCUAAUACCAAAUACUCUUGAUCUGCCGCAUGACAGACCAAGGAAAGCUUUCGCGGUGAGAGAUGGGGUCGCGGCCCAUUAGGUAGUUGGUGGGGUAGAGGCCUACCAAGCCGAUGAUGGGUAGCCGGGUUGAGAGACCGACCGGCCACAUUGGGACUGAGAUACGGCCCAGACUCCUACGGGAGGCAGCAGUGGGGAAUUUUGCGCAAUGGGCGAAAGCCUGACGCAGCAACGCCGCGUGCGGGAUGACGGCCUUCGGGUUGUAAACCGCUUUCAGUGGGAAAGAUAAUGACGGUACCCACACAAGAAGCUCCGGCUAAAUACGUGCCAGCAGCCGCGGUAAUACGUAUGGAGCAAGCGUUAUCCGGAUUUAUUGGGCGUAAAGCGCGCGUAGGCGGCUUGUUAAGCAAGGUCUUAAAUCUUGGGGCUCAACCUCAAGCCGGAUCUUGAACUGGCAGGCUCGAGUAUGGUAGAGGAAAGUGGAAUUCCCAGUGUAGCGGUGGAAUGCGCAGAUAUUGGGAAGAACACCGAUGGCGAAGGCAGCUUUCUGGGCCAUUACUGACGCUGAGGUGCGAAAGCUAGGGGAGCAAACAGGAUUAGAUACCCUGGUAGUCCUAGCCGUAAACGAUGGGCACUAGGUGUGGGGAGGAUAACCUUUCCGUGCCGCAGCUAACGCAUUAAGUGCCCCGCCUGGGGAGUACGGCCGCAAGGCUAAAACUCAAAGGAAU
rnacentral:rRNA from 1 species